rnacentral:lncRNA from 1 species
GGCAAUGGAGAGUGACCGAUCUUGAUGGCCUCACUCCGUUCUCUUAUUCCAGGGGUGUGGGGUGGAGGGGCCCAAUUAGCCAUUGGACUCUGAGCUGUGUUGAGGUGUGAGCCCUGCUCUCUUCUUCUAGAAGAUGAUUUCCAUGAGGUGUCACCUGCCAUUGUGACACCUUAGUGGUCUCAAUACCUUAGCCUCUGAGGGAUACUCAAGUGUCGUGGAUGGCCUGGGCUUGCUGAGCCUUGGAGAGCUUGUCAACUCUGUGUGAAGGAUUCACUAGGAUCAGGAAGGAACUGUGAUCCUGUGAAGGUGCCUUUGUGAGGCUGGGGGAAGCUUUAUAAUCCCCACUGACUGGCCCAGCUCUGUGCCUCAGCUAGAAUGUAGCAGAACCCUGCCUCAUCGGGAAGCCCAAGGAGUGAGCAGAGCCCUGCUAUUCCAGUAUUUCCUCCUGAGGCUACAGUUCCAGCACUCCAGGAGGAAGGAUGAUGUCUGGAGAGGCACAAAGGCGUUUUCUGUUCUGGGUAAUUUUAUGUUCAGGUAACAAGUCACUGUCAACCCCAGUUGCCCGCCAUGCUGAAGACCUCUGGGCCUCGGUCCUACUUUCUAUCUGCACUUGGACCUUCGUGGGAUAUCCAUCUUCCUAGGUCAAAGGGCAGCUAAACAGAAACAACGAAGCCUCAGGUAGCCUUGUGACAGUUUCCACUCGGGACAUUAACCUCAUCAGCAGGUAGGAGUGGGGGUGGGGGUGAGGGCAGGGAUGUCUGCUGAUCCUGAAAUGUUGUCACCAUUCAAAGAGCUGCUGCUGGUGGAAUUUAGUUCGUGUGUGUGUGUGUGUGUGUGUGUGUGUGUGUGUGUGUGUGUGUGUGUGUGUGUGUGUAUUGAGAAUGCCUUUUAGAGGGCUGGCAAGAUGGCUCAGCGAGUAAGAGCACUGACUGCUCUCCCGGAGGUCCUGAGUUCAAAUCCCAGCAACCACAUGGUGGCUCACAACCACCCAUAGUAGUGAGAUCUGACGCCCUCUUCUGGUGCAUCUGAAGACAGCAACAGUGUACUUAUGUAUAAUAAAUAAUUCUUAAAAAAAAAAAAG